CCCAUUUGCCCACUAAAUUAUUGGCCACUCUUUCUUCCCAAUUCUGAUUACAAGAUAAUUAUUAACCUCUUGACCUAUAAUCUCAACUCUUGACUACCAUAAUUUACUUAGAUCAGUUUGUCUUAGUGCCUACUAGACAGAAGUAUUAGAACACCCAUCACAAAAAAAACUGUGUCUUGUAUGUUAGGUCUAAGGCAUUCAACCAUCUCAAGUAGCCUUAUCUUUUCAAUGUCUUCAAACUAUUUGGUUUCUGAAUCUCUGGGCUUCAACCAUUUAAUAAUUUAGAAGAUGCAGUUUUACAGAAAUACAG